rnacentral:lncRNA from 10 species
AUGCUGCUGGUUUUCUAGGCCCACUCAGCCCAAAAGGCUCUCAAGAUACAAGAUUCAUCAUCAUGCCUGUGAGCUGGGUCCAAUAAUGAAUCACCAUCCUACCUGUGGCCAAAUGCAUAUAUGACAGUUACAACUCUAACUGCAGACUGCAUCGGCAUGUAAAAUUUAGGUCACCAGUGGGCUCUCUCCAUGUUUGAAUGUGGUGAUUCUAAUGGUCAGUGAGGUGUGCAUAGGAGAGUCACAAUCUCAUCUUCAAGUGGGCCUUGUAUCAGCACUCUCUGUACUCUCUUAGGACUAUAUGACAUAUCGGUGGG